rnacentral:lncRNA from 1 species
GUUUGUAACGUGCGUUGUUGGGGGCUGGGGAGGAUUUACGGCUCUAAAGCCUUCCAUAUAACGCUUUAACGGUCUACGAGAAAACAGUCUCGGAGCUAAAAAUGAAUGGGAAUAAUCCACAUGAGAGUUGCUCCUUCUGCCUGGGCCUGGGAAUGAGAAGACCUGUGGAGCUGAGCUACUGCUUACCCACAACCUGCAUAUACAUAAAUCAGAAGCCAGCACUGGUUGUUGUGAGUCGCUUAGAUUUUGGGCUUGAUGAAGAUGACCUUAGGCACAGUGACCCUGAAGGCCACAUGUUAAAGACAGUGGAGCCACAGGAUGGAAGGAAGCUGGUUCCCUGAAUCAUCACGUGGCAGAGAGCGGACCACUAAUCAGGAUCAUGUGUUUCAGAUUUCACUUGACCAAUAAAUCAAUUUCAAUUUUGUUACACUG